rnacentral:rRNA from 1 species
GACGAACGCUGGCGGCGUGCUUAACACAUGCAAGUCGAACGGAAAGGCCCUGCUUUUGUGGGGUGCUCGAGUGGCGAACGGGUGAGUAACACGUGAGUAACCUGCCCUUGACUUUGGGAUAACUUCAGGAAACUGGGGCUAAUACCGGAUAGGAGCUCCUGCUGCAUGGUGGGGGUUGGAAAGUUUCGGCGGUUGGGGAUGGACUCGCGGCUUAUCAGCUUGUUGGUGGGGUAGUGGCUUACCAAGGCUUUGACGGGUAGCCGGCCUGAGAGGGUGACCGGCCAAAUUGGGACUGAGAUACGGCCAGACUCCUACGGGAGGCAGCAGUGGGGAAUAUUGCACAAUGGGCGGAAGCCUGAUGCAGCAACGCCGCGUGCGGGAUGACGGCCUUCGGGUUGUAAACCGCUUUCACCUGUGACGAAGCGUGAGUGACGGUAAUGGGUAAAGAAGCACCGGCUAACUACGUG